rnacentral:rRNA from 1 species
GACGAACGCUGGCGGCGUGCUUAACACAUGCAAGUCGAGCGGAGCGGCGAACGGGUGAGUAACGCGUGAGUAACUGCCCCCCUCUCUGGGAUAACAGUUGGAAACGGCUGCUAAUACCGGAUAGUGGGGGAUGACUCGCGUCCUAUCCGCUUGUUGGUGGGGUAGUGGCCUACCAAGGCGACGACGGAUAGCCGGCCUUGGAGGGCGACCGGCCACAUGGGGCUGAGAUACGGCCCAAAAUCGUACGGGAGGCAUCAGUGGGGAGUAUGGCGCAGUAGGGGCAACCCUGAUGCAGCAGCGCCGCGUGCGGAAUAACGGCCUUCGGGUUGUAAACCGCUGUCAGCCAUGACGCGGUAGUGGCAGAAGAAGCACCGGCUAACUACGUGCCAGCAGCCGCGGUAAUAC